CAUUUCCAACCAACCCUCAAUGAAAAGCCAUUGCAAUUAUUUUUUAAAAACAAGAAAACGUGUUGUAUAUUCCCACCUUCCUCCCUACCUCUUUCACAAUAUAUAAUAAAAACACCAUAUUAUUCAUCUCAUUAUCGUUCCUUUUAAGUUUCCUUCUUACUUAUUUAAGUUCAAAACUAUUUCUUUUUAGGUUUUACUGAGAUGGGUUUUUUGAAUUUGAAGUGUUUGUUUCUGGGUUUUCUUCUAACGUUUGUUUCUUUUAGAAAAGGAGUUAUUAUAGUAGAAGGUAGCAGUAGGCCCUUUUCAAUUUCCCCAAUACUCGAGCUUCGGAAAGGUUUUGAGGGAUAUUAUGAUUCAAAGAUUUUUGCAACAAUGGGAAUUGAAUGUAAGUGUUGUGAUGAGAUUGGAGGUAAAUGCUCUACUGAGUUUACUUCUUCUUGCUCUAAUCUCCAUUGUUCCCCUUGGAAACAAUAUUAAUAUUAAAUCCAAUAAUCCCUCAGCUCUUUCCUUAAUUUCUAGCAAACAUCAUUAUUUUGAAUACAAGAGUAGUUUAAUUAAUUUGGUCAUGACUUUGGAUACUAUUUGGGUGUAUGAACGGUGUGGGAGUGCAUCCACUAAUUUACAACUCAUUCAAUCUCUCAUCAGAAAAAGCUCAAUAAUAUUUUUUAAAAAGAAAAAAAAAAAAAAAGAAAAAAGAAACGAAGAAAAGUUUGUGUUGUCAUGUUACCAAUUAUUAUAGUUGGACAACACUAAACUGGACUACUAAGUGUAGGUGAAGCUCAUGAUAUUUGUAAGUAUUUCUUGGUAUUAUAUAUAUCGCUAUAUAUAUCUUUGUUAACUUUAAUCAAUUAUACAAAUGAUCUAAAUUGGUUUAGGCAUAUAUAACUUUAACUAACCUUAACUUCUUGACACUAUAGAUAGAAGUUCAAAAUUUCAACUUUUUGUUUUUUUUUAAAAGUCAAGAGGGUAUAUUUAAUUUACUUGAACUAUAUGGUGGUUGGCAUAGAUGGACAAUUAUAGUAUUUGAAUGCCUUAAAAUUAGAUAUCUCACCUCAAAGGAUCAAGUAUAUAUAUGGGGUCUAGCUAGGAGGUGUUGUUACCGAAACCGUAUAAUUGUAUUUGUGUUAUUUUCUUUAUUUACGAUUUUGACUCUAAAGUUUAAUAAAAAAAGUUUUUGAAAGAAAGAAAGAAAGCCUCAAGCAAAGAUUUUGAAAAGAUAGGUGUUUUUUCAAUCUAUAAGUUCAUGAUUUGUUUCCCUAUUUGAAUGUCCUACUUUGGAAUGAGGUGGUAGAAAGAAAGGUGUUACGAUUGAUGCAAACCAAAAUAAGUGUAAUUAUGAUAUACCGAUCACGGUUAAGAAGUAAAAUAUUUUAUUAGGAUUAUUUUCUUUUUAGAUUAACAAUUUAGCUAAAAUGAAAUAUAUCUCGUAACUAAUAGAUAUUAAAAAUGAUUGUCUACGUACAAUUUGAUAAUCAAUAAUUCUAUGUUAAACGAAAGUGAUAUUGGCUUGACAGUAUUAACUUAAUUGACUUUUGUUUUUAGAAGUCAGAUAUUAAAUCUUUUAUCCCAUAGUUGAUAUUAUUAAAAGAAGUUAUUAGAAAAAUAGGUAUUGAAUACUUGGAUUGAACCAUUUUCUCUCCAUGUUCAAUAUGUCCUGCCUAUUUAGGAGAGUUACUUGUUCUAAUUAGGCAUAUUAGUUUAUUGUUGUUGUUGAAAAGUUUAUUUCUUAUCCAAAUAUUUGAAUGGGUAUUUUCAAAUUUUUUUUUCUUUUUCUUUUCAAAUUUGUCUUAGUAACACAACACAAGACUUGGGCUGGAAAAUGAAUAAGGGCUUUAGUGAUUCAAACCCAAUGACAUAAGUUGGGAUUUCAUAGGGCAAUAACCUUCACAUAUAUAAAUACUUUCAAGACAAUAAUAUCAUUAAAAUAAUUUCACAACAAUGAUUAGUAUUUUAUUAGGUAAUCGUUAUUGUUGAUAUGAUAGGGACAAAGUUUGUCUUUGUUAUGUUAUAUCCUAAAAAAUAUAUAAAAAAAAGUAUUAGGUGAAGUAAACUUUUGGGUUAUGAGGUAAGAAAAGGUGAGCAAAUCGAAGAAGGGAAGUGAUAAAAUUAAAUGAAUGAAGAAUAAUAAAAGAAAAAAAGUACACACUUCACCUAAUGGCCAAUUUCAACAAAUUUUCUUUUCAAAUCUCAUGAAAUCUCCAGAAAGGAAAAAUGUAGGAGACAUUAUGCAUUACUUGGAAAAAUAUUUACUAAAUAUAGUAAAAUUUUAAAUUAUUUUAGUUAGUGUUUGUAAUUAAUACAUUGAUAGAUAUAAAAAAAAAUCUAGAAUUUUGAUAUGUUUUUAAAUAUUAUAAUUCAUUUCCCUAUAUUCGAAAGUUUCCAAAAAAAAAAAAAAAGUAACAAAUCUAUUUUAUUUUCUAACAUUUUAAGAAAAUUUAAUUAUAAAUAUAUAUUCUCAUUUUGAAUUUAAAUUUAUACAGUAUUACCCAUUAAUAAUGAGUUUUAAAAAAAGGUCGAGUAAUAUAGGCUAAAAGUAAUACCAUGUGUACUAAUUAAAAAAUGAAAAGAAAAAAAAAAAGAAUCAGAGAUACCAUCUGAGCAAAAAAGAAAAUUAUUAUAUUUGUCAUAUAUUCUAUUUGAAUAAAUUAAAUUUCUAUUUUUUAAAUAUAGUAAAAUGAAUAUAUAUAUAUAUAUAUAUAUAUAUUUAUUUAUAUAUUUAUAAAAUAUCAAGAUGGACUACUAUUUGUGUCUAUCUAGACACAAAUAGUAGACAAAUAGAUUAUGAUAUUUCGUUAUGAUUAUAAAUAUUUUCAGAAGACUUUUUAUUUAAAAUAAUGUUCCUAAAUUAAACCUACAUGAGACUAUUUUUUCUUUUUUAUCAAUUAAAUUCCAUUUUUUAAUAUUUGUGAUUGUCCUGACUAGCUUGAUUCUACAACAUUUGUAUAUUAACAAAACUUGUAGAAUAUUAGAUAAAUCAUAGAUAGGUGGUAACCAUUUUAUUGAAUCUAUGAUAUUUCAAUCCUUUAUCAAGGUCAUGCCUUUCUAUUUACCAUUGGCCAAUCUACGACAGUUUUAGUCAAUUAAUCAAAUUAGGCUCUCAAUUGAUUCACUUACGAUAGUUUAGUAGUUUAACUGAAACAAGCAUAUGUUUUGUAUGAUGUUCUUGAACCAAGUAUAAAGAAGAGUGUGUUAAUCGAUGUACAUUUACGAUAUUCAAAGUUUAAAUCGAGGCCGUAAAUGAGAAGAAGGUAGAAAAGAAUAGAGGCAUGCAUUAUUAUUGCUCAUUUAUCUAUACAAUGAAAAAUAAAGUUUAUGGAACUUGUAUUAAUUAUAUAUAUUAUAUAUUCCAAUAUAAAUGAAAGAUAAAGAUGAUUUGAUGUUGUUCCUUGUGACCUUAUUGGCAUUCCAUGGAGAAGGGCCAUUUUAGUUUGAUCAAUGCUAGAAAAGGGCAUAUCCCAUCAAUUUCAUCGGCCAAAUAUAAGAAAUUGGGAUCCCCUUUGCCUUUUCUUUUAUGGAAAGCAUUCUGUAUAAAUGGAUAGAAAUUUAAGUUCCCCAUCCUAUUAAUUCUAUCACUUAAAAUGGACAAUAAUAAUUUUGUUGACUCAACAUAUCUUAAUUAUUCCAAUAUUCUAAAAUCUGGAAACAUCAUAAAUUGAUAAACAUUGUUAUUGUUAGAUAGUAUUCACACCCAACACACAUACUCUUAAACUUGGUAAACAUCAUAAAUUAAAUACUGCUUCGUAAGCUACAUUUUGGAUCUUCCCAUGUUGAUUUUUCUUUUCAGUAUAUCAAAUUCAAGAAUACAAUAUGUAUAUUGAAUCCACCACCCAAUAUUAAUUAUAUAUGAUUUAUUUAAUUAUUUCUGGAUUAUUUUAUUCUUUUUUCUCUAUAGAGAACAAAAUCAAUAUUAGAUCAUCUCAAUUUUUUACUUUAUAUAUUUUAAUUUCUUCCUUUUUUUUUUUUGAAUUCUUAAAUUUAAAUAAGUGUGACAACUUUUAAAACCCAAAUAAAAAUUGUCUUCCAAAAUUUUAAUAUUCAAAUAAUCAAUCAAAAUAUUGAAGUACCAAAUAUGCAUGUUGAUUCGAAUGUUGUAAUAUAUUCAUAAUAAAAAUGUAAUUUUUUUAAUCAAAUUUCUUAUAAAGCCAAUGGUACAUAUUAUGUGUAAUCAAUUCAUUGUUCUUAAUUAUUUUGAGUUUUUAAAAAAAUCACUUUUCCACUGUUGUUGCGGGUAAAAUUGAUCGAUUAUAUUUCAAAGAAGUACGAUAGGUAACAAUUUUAGAAAUAGAAUUAAUAAUUAAGUGUAUUUCAAUAUAUUAUAUCUUGAAAAAUCUUAUAGCUAAUGACUCGUAAUAGACUUGAUGACAUAAGAAAAUUGUAAAUAUUACAAUUACAUUCAAAGUAUAUUGACGUAUAUCAAAAUGUUUAGUAUAAAUUGCAAAUAUACUAAAGUUUUCCGAAGUCUAUCAGUUAUAGACUCAAUAGACUAAACCAUAUUACAAAUAUCGAUAUAUUUUUAAUAGACUAUAAAAGAAUCUAUUAGCGAUAAAAAAAUUAUCGAUAGACUUUAUUGCAUUUUCAAAUUUUUUUAAAAAAUUAUUACUGUACUCUUGAUUAUUAUCCAUAAAAUUGCUAUCCAUUAAAUUACAAUUAAGACAUGGAUCUAAAUAUUUAUUAUAUGUACAUUUUUUUUUCAUUAUACUAUAUCUACUAAUACUUUUGAAUAUGAUUGUUAUAGAUUUUAACUGCAUGUUUCUAUAUCUGCUAAGACUCUAAACUUGAUAGAAGGAUAAUUUUAUUUAGAUGAUUUUGAGUUAGGCUUUAGUUAUACUUGCAUAAAAAAUAGUUAUGGAUUCAUAAUCGAUGACCUAAUCAUAAAUUAUACAAGUUUAAGAUUUUUUUAGUACAAUAGUAUGACAGAAUAGUACAUGUCAAUUACUACUUAAUUAAUUAUAUAUGCUCCAUUUGGUUUAAAGUUUAAAUUUAAAUUAAUAAAAUGACUUUUAUGAUUUAUUACAUAUAGACACACAAGUACACACAACUUCAGACUAAAGAAAUAUAAAUUGAAUUUUCGUUCAUUAGAAACGUUGUUGUACUUUUUUAAAAGCAAAAUUCAUAAAAAAAAGAAAAAAGACUCGCCAUCCUCAAAAUCCUCAACAAGAAUAUAGAACAACUCAACGUUCCAAUAAAACCUUAUGCAUUUCUUAAACGAAAGAAGAAAGAGUAAUAAAAAUGACACAUCAUAAACAACAUGUGCAAACAAAUAAUGAACCACAAAAUUACAAGCACUACAAGAAAAGUGACCUUCUAUGAUACUUCAUUACAAGAAAAAUUGAGAGGAGAGAAGAAACAAUUGUCAUAAUAUGUCAAAAUGCGCUUUUUUGGCGAGAAAAAACGUUUUUGGAAAUUAUUUUUCGUGACAUUUAUUUGUUGUCAUAAAAGGGUUUAGGAUUUAUUAAAAUAAAAAAAUCCCCAAAUUUAUUAAAAUAAUUGAUUAAAAUAGAAAAUCCCUAAUUUCUCAACCCCUCCCAUUUGUGCCUGUUGCCAUUCGUAAAUACCUCAUUCGUCUUCUUCUCCGUCCGACGACCAUUCGACGUCUAGUGACCGUUCGACUUCUGCCCAGGUUCGAGUUCGGCCGAUGUUCAAUUUUUUCCCAGGUACGACUUUCCCCCAAUUCGUCUUCCGCCCACGGUCUAACUUUCACCGAUCGUUCGUCUUUCGCCCACGGUUCGACGUCGGCCCACUAUUCCACCUCUGCCCACGCUUCAACGUCUGCCCAAUCUUCUGGCAGCAGUUCGUCAUUGGAGUUCGCCGCCGGUGAGUUCUCAACCCUUCCCACUCCACCUCAUAAAUCUGGAAUGUUUUCUUAUAAGUGAGGCACUCUUAACAUGAUAAGAAGCUUCUUAUAACUUAAGUGACAACCAGAAAAAUAUUUUGUGACAUAAACAAAGAAUUACUUGUCAUAAACUUUUAAAAUCAAGUCAUUCAACGUUAGUAUAUUUAGAAAUGGUCACUGAUCAUGUCAAAGUGUGUAGCUUGUAUACAAUAUUUGACCAUUGAGAUGCAAAAAGACAUUAUGAUUGCUUAACAUUGAUAGGUUGAAAUAACCAUCCUUAUGAUGAGAGAAAGGGGAGUUGGUAUUUAGGUAUAUUUGCUUCUUUACUAUAAAUUGUCAAUGUCCUUUAAUUGUUGGUGCAUUUAUUUUUCGUCCUACCUUUUCUUUUUAAGUACAAUUGAUUUCACAUCUUUGGUUCCUCCCUCCCUAUGCACAGUCCCACAUGAUUAAAAUCCCACAAACCACCGAGUGGAGGAUAAAUUUUGUUCGAAUGACUUUACUAACUUACCUUGCUCUAAACAACCAAGCACGGGUCUCAUUAUCUCUAUCAUUUAUUAUAUUUACGAAUUUGGUCAGAAGAUUUAAGCGUCCAAUAUCAUUUUUAUGUAAGUUGUAGGCCAUUUUUCUACUAGUGAGAAUAGUUUAUAUAUGGGGUGUUUUGGUUAAGAAUAGGAUUAUCAUUUUUACAAUUGGCUUAAAUGAAAAUAAUUCUAAGUACAAUCAUUGUGUCCUUAUUCAAAUUAAAUUUAGUUUAGAAUAUAUACAAUUUACAUUAAUUUGAUAUGUUGCUUAUUAGAAAAACGUCACAUAUAUGAUGUAAAAGGAAAUAGUAUGUGUUAUAUUGGUUUAGUUUUUGAAUAGGUUUGAUUUUUUAUUGCUAUAUAAAUAGGAAAACUUUCAUAAAUGUAACAAAACAUCAAAUUAUUUACAGCCCGUGUAACAAAACCAAUAAAAUUAGCCAUUUUUUAAAUAUUCCAGGUUUGCCCUUCCAUCUUUCUUCUCUUCGUCCUCACGAUUUCUUUCAUCGUCUUUCUCCUGUGAUUUCUUUCAUCGUCUUUCUCCUGUGAUUUCUUUCAUCGUUUUUUUUCUUUUUCUUCUUUUUUUCUGCUACGAUUUCUUUCCAUUGUCUUUCUUCUUUUCCUUUUUUUUUUCUGUUGCGAUUUCUUUCCAUCGUCUUUCUUUAUUUUUUUAUUAUUUAAUCUUUCCAUCGUAUUUUUUUCUUUUCCUUUUUUUUUCGCUGUAAUUUCUUUCCAUUGUCUUUCUUCUUUUCCUUUUUUUUUUACGUCGUUUAAAUUUGGGUAACCAAAUCUAAACGACUGUAUACAAAAAAUAGCAAAAUCUAAAAGAUCAUAUAUAAAGAAUUUUGAAAAAAAAUUAUUUAGAUCGGAGUAGUCAAAUGUAAACGAUAGUGUAAACAAAAAAAAGAUCAUGUAUAAAGAAUCUUGAAAAAAAUCAUUUAGAUUGAAAUAGCAAAAUGUAAAUGAUCGUGUAAAAAAAGUAAACAAUCGUGUAAAAAAAACAAAAGAUUGUGUACAAAGAAUCUUGAAAAAAAUCAUUUAGAUUGAAGUAGCAAAAUGUGAACGAUCAUGUAAAAAAAGUAAACGAUCGUGUAGAAAAAAUAAAAGAUCGUAUAAAGAAUCUUGAAAAAAAUAAUUUAGAUUGGAGUAGCCAAAUGUAAAUGAUCGUGUAAAAAAGGUAAAUGAUCGUGUAAAAAGUAUAAAUUAUCGUUUAGAGAAAUCUAAACGAUUGUGUACAAAAGAAUUAAAAAAAUCGUAUACCAAAUUUUGAGAAAAAAAUGUUUAGAUUUGGGUCUUCAAAUCUAAAUGAUCAAAUCUACACGAUCAUGUAACCAAAUUUAAACUUAGCCAAAUUAAACGAUCGUGUAACAAAAUUAAACGAUAGAAUUGAAAAGAUAAAUUGUAGCCAUAUCUAAACGAUCGCGUACCAAACAAUAACCAAAUCUAAACGAUCACAAAUAUAUUACGCACGUGUUGUUGACGACGUGGUUGACGGGGCAUUUUUGGUAUUUUACACGGUGGGCCUCUGGGCUUUUUCCAUUUUCAAAAUGGGUAAUUAUAAUGGGUAGCAAUUUUUAGAAUAAUUAUUAAGUAUGUAGCAAUAUUUUUAAAAAAUUGCAAAUUUAGCAAAGUCUAUCGGUGAUAGAUUUCUAUCAUUGAUAGACUCUUAUGGUUUAUCAGUGAUAGACCAACAUCUGCUACAUGGUCUAUUAGUGAUAUACUCUUGUCAUUGAUAGAUUUUGACAGAUUUUGCUAUAUUUGCAAUUUCUUUUAAAUGUUGCUAUAUACUUUAUUAUUUUGAAUAAAAUUGUUAUAUUUGCAACUAUCCUUUUCAAAAUUGGUCUAUACAGUGUAAAUACUUUGCCUCUUUAUUAUAUUUUUGAAAAGACCCCAUAUAAAUAGGUGUUUUGGAGUUAUAUUUCAGUAUACAAUUUAUGUUACAAAACCGAGAAAUAAAUAAUACAAAAAUGUAAAAUAUACAAUUUGCCCUUGUUUUAAAUGUUUCAAUUUGAUCCUUGUUUAAAUAGAAUGGGUAUUACUUUACCACGCUUAUAUUUUCUUUGAAAAGUCACUAAAUUCCUUUUAAUGCAACCUCAUUAUUAAUGCAAUCAUUAUUCGGCGUGUUCUUCUAUUUUGGACUGAGUUUGUUGCUUCUUGGUUGAAGGAAUACUUCAAAGUAAGUGUCACGAUUCCGAUCCUUUUUGAAAUUUGAAUUGCAGCUCCAUAUGAUAAUUGAUUAAAUAUGUAUAAUGAAAUGUAAAGAAAAAGAGUGAAAAAGGAAGGAGAAGCGGAAGCAAUAUAAGUACAACCACAGAACCUUUAGGAAGGGGUUUACGAAUCUUAUGGAGGAGUUGAAAGCAUCAUCAUGAAAUCAAAUUGAUCGAUCCAUAGUUUGGAAAUAAGCUCGAAUGGAUUGUAAGGGACAAAUUUCAUAUGAAGAGACGAAGGAAGUGGUGAAUCUUAUAGAUGAACUCGUAGCCACUCAAAAGACAACUAAUGCUUUCGAUGAAGAGGAUAUUCUAACAAUGGCUUUGGGUGGGAAGGAUUGUUCUGGAAUAGUUCGCGAUGUGGGGAAGUAUCUCACAAAGAAAAAGUACUUCCAUACUGCAACACAACAAAAAACAAAUGAAAAAGAGGAUGAGAAGGCCUCUUCUAAAGAACACGAUCAAAUGGCGAAAAGAAUAAAAGAGUUGGAGGACGAAUUGUUGAAAAUGAAAGAAAAUGAUGAUUGCCUAGGCGAAUUAAAAGAAAAACCAGGUAUAGGUUGUAAAGAAAAAUCAUCCAUGGAAGGGGCUGGAAAUCUAAAUGAAUUUGAAGAUCUAUCAAAUGAUUUAGAAUCACAGAAAGACGUAGAGGAUGUUGUUGAAUUGAAUGAAGAAAUAAAUGUGAACAUAGCGAAGGAUGAUGAGCAGGUGGAAGGUGUGACGUUAGAGAAAAUGAAGGUUGGAACCCCUUGCAAGUUGGCGUUUGAAAUGAAAGAUCAUGUCGUUACAUGGGGACCAUAUUUGAUUUAGAUGUAGAAUGUGAUAAUGUUAAAGUCGCAGUAGAUGUCGUGGUGGAUGGAGAUUGUGCAAUUCCCAUUCCAUCGAAGCAAGGGAUGUACAAAAUGUUCCAGGAAGUUGGUUCACACAUAUUAUGGCCAUGACAUCUUGUCAUUAUUGACAAUAUAAAGAUGGACUAUGGGGAAUUUACUAAGGAUAUGACCACAUUCGCACCCACACCAAUUCAAAAUGCUCCAGUUACACUACGAUUCUUACUACGAAUGGUUAAACAUAUGAGGCCAGCAAUUCAAAUCACCACACCAUAUGACGUAUUUGGGAUCCAAAGAAAAUGUUGCAUAAUGAUUGAGUCGUUGAAGGAUUUCUCUUCUAUGCGACCAAUAGCUAUCGCUUACCUUGAUGCGUACAUAAUGUAUCUAUACACACGUAUGGAAUCAUUGAGAACUUUGAAUCUAUACAAGUUCGUUGACGUUGGGUCGAUUAGUUGUGGGAGUUCUAAAGAAGAGCGUGCCCAAUUGUUGACUAUUUGAUUACUUGGAACAGAUUAUGAUCAACUCUUACUGAUUCCUUACAAUUUUGGGUAUGUCGAUGACCUAAAGUAAAGGAUUCGAAUUGUGCUUGCAGUAGUCUAAGAUGUAGUCUUAUUGUUUCACACAUAUAUUUAGGAAUCAUUGGACUUUGGUUGUAAUAAACUGAUCGAAGGGUGCUACCUUUUGGAUAGACCCUUUGAAAAACCGUAUUGACCCAGAUGUAUCCGAAGUAGCUGAAAUGUAUGUCAUACUUACUUUUACCUUUACUUCCUUUUUUCUUAAUGAGACAGUAGUUUAAGUAGGUCAAACUCCGAUAUUCUUUUGUAGGUCGUUGUUCAACAUAAUGAAGAAGAAAAAACAAAAUUAGAUGGUCGUGAAGGUAUGAGAAUAUCUAUGUUGGUAUGGGUUGUAAAUUAAUCUCUAUUUCUAACAUAGGUCAAGUCAUUUGUAUGUGUAUCCUUAGUGUGUCCUAAGCAAUCGGGAGUAGUAGAAUGUGGUUAUUACGUGAUGUGGUUCAUGAGUGACGUCAUAUUAUCAAAGAGUACUUCUGUCAUAGACAUAUUAAACAUACAGUUAUAAAACUAUCGUGCAUGUAUACUUUUUUAUGAAUGAAAUUCAUUUAGAACCACUUUAUUGUCUACAGAUCAAAGAUUCACCCCGUACUUACACAUAGGAAGACAUUGAUUGUAUAAGGUCUGAGUGGGCUGAGUUUGUAGGGAAGCACAUAGGAUAAGAUAUUUUGUCACACAUUUUGUCACAUAUUUUGUGAUUUAUUUUUUCACAUAUUUUGUCACAUAUUUUUAUGUUCGAGCUGCCAUGGAAAAUACAAUGCUGGAGGAAAAUACAGCUGCUAUAUUCAAUAUCAACGAGGCACUAAAAGUUCUUCUCAGCCUUCUACUACAAAUCCCAGCACUUCAGAAUCCAUUUUCAUUCAAAAUAUCCAGGAGUUCAAUGAUGUUAACAGCAACUACAAAAUAUUUAUUCUAAGUACACAUGCUGGUGGUCUGGGUAUCAACCUUACUACAACAGAUACUUAUUAACUCUAUAGUAGCAAUUAGGUCGUAUUUUGAAGAGGGCUUUUAGUAAGUUGAAGCUUGAGCACCACGUGGUCAUCGAAAAAGGCCAACUCCACCAGGAGCGAACAAAACCCAAUGCUGCAGAUAUUGAUCAGAUUUCAAGGAGUUAAGAAUAACAAUCGGUGAGACCUUAAGCUUGGAGUUAUCUAAGAGUGUUGUGGUGCUUGGAGGAGGGUGAUGUCUCUGUUUCUUAUUAUUACAUAUACUUUGUGUUUUAUGAUUAAGAACGAUGAUCAUAGCUCGUUUUGUAAUAUGAAUGAUAUUUCUUCUUGUUAUAUAUACUUUGUGUUAUAUGCAAUUUGUUAAAAUAUAUUUAGUUCGUUGAUUGAAAGUUUGGGUUGAUUUCAAUUUUUCAAUUGAUGUGUAUUUUAAUAUUGUUGGACAUCAAAACAUGUGAAUGAUAAAAUAUAUGGAUAUUUUAAAAUA